UCUUUUUCUUUUCUUCUCGCUCACUGCCGCACACCUCCUCACCCGAUCCCCUUCCUCAUCUUCUUCACCCAUGCCCAAACCUCCAUCUCUUCUCACCGACGCCGAGCUACUUUUCUCCUCUGCCGAUCCCCAGAGGCUGAUGGAUCGUCUUCCUCCGCGGGUCGUCACACCAUGUGAGCAGAUCUUCAGCCAAGAAAGGGAAAGGCCGAGCCCUAGCGUCGAUUUUCCCUUGUUGCAUCACUGUGCAUCGCGUCUCUGAUCUUUGUGAUGCACUACUCCGGUCAACAUUCUUCCUCCACUCCCCAUUGCUGAUCGAUUGCAUGCCACUGACGUUGCAGAUUCGCCCGAUCUCAGGUGAUUUCUUCCUCCUUACGAGAUCUCAGGCGAUCGUCUACCAUGGCCAUCACCCAAUUUCCUUUUCGGCCACUAGAAGAUCCACAACCACAUUUUGUUGGGUUUUCGUCAGAUAGGGAUCUACCAAUAUGAAAUUGUGGAUGUAUGUUUGAUGAAAUGCCUUAAUUCCUCUUGUCUCCUUUGUUCACAUUGACAAUGCCAUUAGCGGCCAUCUUUCGUUGUGAGCCGCUGCUAGGGCAGUGACUAUCCACUGCAAGAUGUUGUGAGGUAGCAGGUAAAGGAUUUAUGGAGUCGCCUGGAGAUCCAGUCCGCCAGUCCCAUGUCAUAUUGAGCGACUCUUCCAUUAUUGCUUCCGCUCUUAAUAUUGGCUUUCGACUUAUUCAUGUAUUUGUAUCUUUUGUUUAGAGGUCUGCUUUGUGGUUUCUUAUAUUUGGUUUAAUAUUAUGGUGUCAAGCCGAGCCGGCUCGCAGUUAGUUGUAUCGUAGUUUUGUGAUCAUUAUUUUGUGAUCCCGCUGUGUUUUGUACAGCCAUGUGGGAUGUUUAAUAUAUAUAACUAUGUGGUUGUGAUUGUUUUGUUCCA